GGUCCCGUGGUGUAACGGUUACCAUUCUGGUCUUUGAAUCAAGCAAUCCGAGUUCAAAUCUCGGCAGGACCU
rfam:Ciona savignyi cont_35552, whole genome shotgun sequence.